rnacentral:rRNA from 1 species
GCUUACGGCCAUACCACCCUGAGCACGCCCGAUCUCGUCUGAUCUCGGAAGCUAAGCAGAGGUCGGGCCUGUUAGUACUUGGAUGGGAGACCGCCUGGGAAUACCAGGUGCUGUAAGCU